UACGGAGGGUGCAAGCGUUAAUCGGAAUUACUGGGCGUAAAGGGCGCGUAGGCGGCCUACUAAGUCAGACGUGAAAUCCCCCGGCUUAACCUGGGAACUGCGUCUGAUACUGGAAGGCUUGAGUAUGGGAGAGGGAUGUAGAAUUCCAGGUGUAGCGGUGAAAUGCGUAGAUAUCUGGAGGAAUACCGGUGGCGAAGGCGGCAUCCUGGACCAUUACUGACGCUGAGGCGCGAAAGCUAGGGGAGCAAACGGG
rnacentral:rRNA from 1 species